rnacentral:rRNA from 1 species
GACGAACGCUGGCGGCGUGCUUAACACAUGCAAGUCGAGCGGUAAGGCCCUUUCGGGGGUACGACGAGCGGCGAACGGGUGAGUAACACGUGGGUGACCUGCCCUCAGCUCUGGGAUAAAGCCUGGGAAACCGGGUCUAAUACCGGAUAUGACUCCAUGACGCAUGUUGUGGGGUGGAAAGCCUUGUGCGGCUGAGGAUGGGCCCGCGGCCUAUCAGCUUGUUGGUGGGGGAUGGCCUACCAAGGCGACGACGGGUAGCCGGCCUGAGAGGGCGACCGGCCACACUGGGACUGAGACACGGCCCAGACUCCUACGGGAGGCAGCAGUGGGGAAUCUUGCGCAAUGGGCGAAAGCCUGACGCAGCGACGCCGCGUGAGGGAUGACGGCCU